AUUGAACGCUGGCGGCAGGCCUAACACAUGCAAGUCGAGCGGAUGAAGGGAGCUUGCUCCUGGAUUCAGCGGCGGACGGGUGAGUAAUGCCUAGGAAUCUGCCUGGUAGUGGGGGAUAACGUCCGGAAACGCGCGCUAAUACCGCAUACGUCCUGAGGGAGAAAGUGGGGGAUCUUCGGACCUCACGCUAUCAGAUGAGCCUAGGUCGGAUUAGCUAGUUGGUGGGGUAAAGGCCUACCAAGGCGACGAUCCGUAACUGGUCUGAGAGGAUGAUCAGUCACACUGGAACUGAGACACGGUCCAGACUCCUACGGGAGGCAGCGGUGGGGAAUAUUGGACAAUGGGCGAAAGCCUGAUCCAGCCAUGCCGCGUGUGUGAAGAAGGUCUUCGGAUUGUAAAGCACUUUAAGUUGGGAGGAAGGGCAGUAAGUUAAUACCUUGCUGUUUUGACGUUACCAACAGAAUAAGCACCGGCUAACUUCGUG
rnacentral:rRNA from 1 species